CCAUGACGAUGACGAGCAUCGUCGAUGAGGUGGUGGUCGGCAAUAGAAGGAAGACACGAAGUAGUCGGAGACGGUUAUUCGGUUCGCCAGCGACGGAAUCGAGGAACUUUGCGACGCGUCGUCGGUCAAAGAGUGAUGAUUAUUGGUAUCGAGAGUAACCCUAUUGCGGAUAUAGAGUUGUCAGAUAUAAUUGUAGACUGAAAAAGCUGUAAAAAAAGCUUUUAUGAAAAAAUAGUAUGAUAUUAUCUCUCCUCUGCAAUAAUCCUCGAGCAAAAUUGGGGAAAGGUCUAUUGUGUAAAGCAAAUCCGUAUAAUUAAUCGUAAUCGAAAAACUCGGUGGAAUUCAAUUUGAGCCUC